rnacentral:rRNA from 1 species
CGUAGGGCGCGAGCGUUGUCCGGAUUUAUUGGGCGUAAAGAGCUCGUAGGCGGCUCGUUGCGUCAACCGUGAAAACCCGGGGCUUAACUUCGGGCUUGCGGUUGAUACGGGCGGGCUGGAGUUCGGUAGGGGAGACUGGAAUUCCUGGUGUAGCGGUGAAAUGCGCAGAUAUCAGGAGGAACACCGGUGGCGAAGGCGGGUCUCUGGGCCGAUACUGACGCUGAGGAGCGAAAGCGUGGGGAGCGAACAGAAUUAGAUACCCUGGUAGUCCACGCUGUAAACGUUGGGCGCUAGGUGUGGGGGGCCUCUCCGGUUUCCUGCGCCGUAGCUAACGCAUUAAGCGCCCCGCCUGGGGAGUACGGCCGCAAGGCUA